rnacentral:rRNA from 1 species
UACGUAGGGACCAAGCGUUGUUCGGAUUUACUGGGCGUAAAGGGCGCGUAGGCGGCCCCGCAAGUCACUUGUGAAAUCUCUGGGCUUAACCCAGAACGGCCAAGUGAAACUGCAGGGCUAGAGUGUAGAAGGGGCAAUCGGAAUUCUUGGUGUAGCGGUGAAAUGCGUAGAUAUCAAGAGGAACACCUGAGGUGAAGACGGGUUGCUGGUCUAACACUGACGCUGAGGCGCGAAAGCGUGGGGAGCAAACAGG